GUAGGGGAGGCUCAGGACCGGUUCAGAAAAUCGUCACUGGCGGUGUUGGCCACGAGCGGGAAUGGAACUCGGCUGGUCGGGAGCGGAGCGCUCACUACGUCACUGCAGCUCCCCUUCUGUCAACAAACUUGAACUCUAACCCCGCUCUCGGACGUCACUGCUCAGCGUGACCUCAUCGGCGUCAAACGCGAGGGGGCGGUGGGCCUCGCUAGUGACGUCAUGUCACCAAGGUAUUCGCCUCACCCUCGACCACCGCGCUCUUGAGCGUGACGUCGCCUCCAGGUAUGGGCCGGUCCAAUUAGAAUAAUUUAUUCAAGUUGAGGAGCCCCUUGAUGUGGGAGGGGUGUGACUUGUACUCCGGAAGUGACGUCACGGCACCUCCUGACGCGUGACGUCACGAGUUAACCGGAAGCUUCCGCUCCGCGCGUGAACUGAAAUCCGAGGCCACUCCCGCGUUGAGCUGCUACACCGCUCUUGUUUUCAGAAGCGACCUGCCCACCACACAAGAACCGCUCAUUGUGGGUGGGGAGUGUCUUGUUCCCCGCAAGUGACGUCAUGUCACCGCCUCCUGCCGCGUGACGUCACGAGGUAACUGGAAUCUGCCGCUCCGCGCGUAAACUGAAAUCCGAGGCCACGCCCACGUUGAGCUGGUGAAACCGCUCUUGUUUUCAGAAGCGACCUGCCCACAACAACAAUAACAACAAGCUGUCGCUUCCUCUGCAGAAUUUGUCUCAUGGAGCAAAGGCACUCGGCGCGGCUCGGUGCAAAAAGGCAGAAAUGCGUCCGGCGUGAAAACAACCCGGAUCGUACUGGAGAUUUGACACGGCACCAGAUAACUCGCACAGGAGAUGAACCCUUCAAGUGCAGUGUGUGUGGGAAGGCGUUUACA